AUACGGAGGGUGCAAGCGUUACUCGGAAUCACUGGGCGUAAAGCGCGCGCAGGCGGCUAUUUAAGUUGGAUGUGAAAGCCUAUGGCUCAACCAUAGAACUGCAUCCAAAACUAUUUAGCUAGAGUGUGGGAGAGGAAGAUGGAAUUAGUUGUGUAGGGGUAAAAUCCGUAGAGAUAACUAGGAAUACCAAAAGCGAAGGCAAUCUUCUGGAACACUACUGACGCUGAGGCGCGAAAGCGUGGGUAGCAAACGGGAUUAGAAACCCUUGUAGUCC
rnacentral:rRNA from 1 species